GACGAACGCUGGCGGCGUGCUUAACACAUGCAAGUCGAGCGGUAAGGCCCUUCGGGUACGACGAGCGGCGAACGGGUGAGUAACACGUGGGUGACCUGCCUCUAGCUCUGGGAUAAGCCUGGGAAACGUGGGUCUAAUACCGGAUAUGACUCCACGGCGCAUGUUGUGGGGUGGAAAGCCUUGUGUGGCUAGAGAUGGGCCCGCGGCCUAUCAGCUUGUUGGUGGGGUGAUGGCCUACCAAGGCGACGACGGGUAGCCGGCCUGAGAGGGCGACCGGCC
rnacentral:rRNA from 1 species